rnacentral:lncRNA from 1 species
CCAGAGAUGAUAUUGCUCAGUUUCGAUCGAUUCCGUAUUGUAAGCUUGUUUUAAUCUACAAUCUCUCAAUGAAUUAGUGCUUGCACCAGACAUUAGGUGUCUAGCACCAGAUUUGCGGUGUCUAGCACCAUAUUUUUCAGACAUUAGGUGUCUAGCACCAGAUUUACGGUGUUUUUGGACGAACAUUUACUAAAUGCAGCCAUGUCGUCCCUACCAGGGAAUGUCGCAUAUGUACGUUACAAGAAAUUAAUAAACUGUUACAACA